UACUCAGCAUGGUCCACAGACCAGCAGCUUUGGUAUGAGCAGCUCCUUCCAUCCUUAGCCCCACCUCCAGAUCUUCUGAAUCAGGAUCUGCAUUGUAACACAGACCCAGUGAUUUGUGUCUUAAAAUUUGAGAAGCCCUAAAUUAGGGAACAGUGAUUCUGUUGCCCAUUUGCUGACCUUCACCAUCUGAAACCUUUAAGAAGAAAUAGCAGCCCCUGGAAAACAAAAAGGGGAGAAAAUCACUGCAAUUGUAAUCAUUAAUGGAAUCAUUGAGCAAGCCAUUGGCAUUGUUGCAGCAAAUUUCCUGUGGAUAACAUGGUACAGCCGUGCUUAAAGUUGGCUGGCAGAGCCUCUGGCUUGUUCUGACCCAAAUCAGCUGAUUAGUCUUGGUUAGUUAUUAGGCUUCAGUGGAAAGGAUAGAAAAGCCUUCAACAAGGGCCUCAACAAGGAAAGGCAGCUGUUUUUCAUAAACUGCUAUGAAUGAGCCUAACAGGGCCUCAUCCUUUAUAACCUGCUACCUCCUGCCUCUCCAUCAGCAGAGAAAAACUACUUCCGGCAAGGGUGACUCCUGAUCUGCCAAGAGUCGAAAGAAGAGCUCAGGCAUCUUUUUUUACUGUGGGACUAGAAUACAACCCAAAGAACUGCAGGUAAGAGAAAUAUCAAGACGCUACUUUCUCCAAAGAAAUUUGGAUCGAAAAUGAGAACACAGUGAAAAUGACUUAGAGAAAAUAACGCCACAGAUACAGCUAAAACGUGAAUGAAGCUGGAGGCAGCAGAGGACCACACACCAUGAAAUGUAAACAGAGGAGAAAAAAGCUCCAUGCCAGACAGGAAGAGAAGAACCAGAAGAGCAGUCUUUACAAAUAGAGAUACCAACAACUGGAUACUUUAAUACGUCUUCCACUGGACCUCACUCCUUAUCCCCAUACCUCCCUUUCCCAAAAACCUACCUACCUGAGCAUGGGUGGGAGUAGGAAGGACAAUUUUUCAACUCUCAGAUAAUUCCAAUGUGUUAAAGGAAAUGAACGUAAAACCUGUCACCAAGAACAAGUGGCCUCAGGAUACCCGUCUUCCACGACCUCUCAUACUAAAAUUCUGCUCCACAGAAAGCAGCUGCCCUCACUCAUUUGGAGUCUUCCAAUCUUUAAACAUUAUGCUCCCCCCAUUCCCCCAAAGGAAAAUAUUCAUCUUGGUUUCAAAAGGAUUCUUCAUUACCUCUGUAGCUACUAUUCCAUGAUUAUUCACUUCAUAUUUUGUUUUUAUGGAAUACCUACUAUAAAGAUAGUAAGAACUGAGAUGCAGGGAUGAAAUUCCAGAAGUCUCUGAGCUAAUCUGAUUCUGUACACACCAAAAGAACUAAGUACUACACUGUGUGUUACUGUGUAGAAUAGGAGUUUAGGAAAGAGAAGGGAAGAGGAGGUGAGGGGAGAAAGAGUACAGUCCAUAGUUAUAAAAACUGAGCACCAUGAGAAGAGAAUAACAAGGAGAUGGCUUAACUAGAAGGGAGAAACUGGGAGAGGUGGGGUGACCAGAAAAUUAGAGUGUGGUACUAACUAGAUGGAAAAUGGUCUUUUGAGACAGGCAGAGCAAAUUAAACACUAUAAAACAGGAAUACAUAGCAAAGGGGAUGAUUUAAAACUCUUUCCUUUUUUUUUUUUUUUUUUUUGUCUUUUG